GACGAACGCUGGCGGCGUGCCUAAUACAUGCAAGUAGAACGCUGAAGAGAGGAGCUUGCUCUUCUUGGAUGAGUUGCGAACGGGUGAGUAACGCGUAGGUAACCUGCCUGGUAGCGGGGGAUAACUAUUGGAAACGAUAGCUAAUACCGCAUAAAAUGGCUUAUCGCAUGAUAAUCCAUUGAAAGGUGCAAAUGCAUCACUACCAGAUGGACCUGCGUUGUAUUAGCUAGUUGGUGGGGUAACGGCUCACCAAGGCGACGAUACAUAGCCGAGCUGAGAGGGUGAUCGGCCACACUGGGACUGAGACACGGCCCAGACUCCUACGGGAGGCAGCAGGAGGGAAUCUUCGGCAAUGGACGGAAGGCUGACCGAGCAACGCCGCGUGAGUGAAGAAGGUUUUCGGAUCGUAAAGCUCUGUUGUAAGAGAAGAACGAGUGUGAGAGUGGAAAGUUCACACUGUGACGGUAUCUUACCAGAAAGGGACGGCUAACUACGUG
rnacentral:rRNA from 1 species